rnacentral:lncRNA from 1 species
AUCUUGGGAAGCUACACGUCUUUACUUAUAUCUUAGUAAAAAUGAAACAGAAUAAAGUUGAGAACAGCUUUCACCUGUGCUCUACUACUUCACUUUCUAGAGAUGCACUGUAUCCUUUUCAAAUUAAAUGCGUCCUUCUCUCUAGAAAAAUUUGCAGCGUAUUUGAAAACCCAAGUAGUCAGUGACAUUUUCCUGUCCUCAGCCUGUGAUGGAGUAGUAACCUCCAACCUCUUGCACAUCCACUUGAUUUUUCAAGGGCUUCAAUUGGAUACUCAAAAGCUGUAGAGCCAUUGAUUAUCAUUUGACUUAUUGUGAGUAAAAUUAUAUUUGUUUUUACUGUAUCCUUCAAACAGGUGAGCUAAGCAGUGACGUGUGGCUGUUUACUCGUUUCUGUAUAAAAGGUUAACCCUUGCCUCAACGAAGGAUUAAAGCUCUGAAUUCUUCUAUUCCUAGCCCUGCCUAAGAAUUCUUUUGUGGUUUAUGUGUAUGACCUGUUACUAUAAAUACAUGCAAAGUAUUGUAUUAUUUAAUGCUACUAUCUAGUCCUAUUUUCAGCACUAUGAUUGAUGCAUGCUGACAAUUCAGUUUUGUGCUGAUUUCUCCAAAAGCAGUAGCACUGCUGCCAUUGUGUGGGCACCCAGCUGGGGUUGCGUUAAGCAGGCGAUCUACUGCAAAAAUAUUCUUACAGUCGAGCCAGUGACAGGUAGGAACAAAGGAAACAUAGCUCUAAAUGUUGAGUUCCUGACAACAACUUUUUUCACCCAGGUUUCUAGGCUUCAGCAUCCUCACUACUAAGAAAAAUAAAAUGCUGAUUAUCCCUUUAAGGGUAAAGCACUAAUAUACAAGAUCCAAUUACCUCUGUCUAAGCUGAUACGCCUACAGCACCUUUUACAUAACCCAAACACUUGAGUUCCAAUUAUACAAUUAUAUUUUAACAUGUAUUAAGUUCUAUUCCUUUAGGGAGGAGACUUAUAGUGAAUAUUUUAACUAAGCUCCUUCCUCAGCGCAGACUUAUAUUGCAGGGUCUCAGUUCACUACAGUGCCAAAGACACGUUUUUUUUUAUCUCGGUUCUUUUCCUCUCGAGUACACCAGCUGGCUCUUCAGAAAACACAUUUUCUGUGUUUACAGUACUGACAGCAGUACUUAUACAUUUCACAACUGUAGCUUAUAAAGCUAAUGUUGUUGGGGUCAGUAGCUGCACUGUAACUGCAAUUAGAUCAAUAAUGCUUCCACAGUGCCAGUAUCUUUUCUUUGCGUGCAAUCUAUGACAAGAUCCAAUUCUCUAGAGGAAGCAACAUGUUCAGAAGUGGAGAAAAGGCUAAGAUAGUUUGUUUUUCAUUUGGUUUGCUGUUUUUCUUUUAUCCACUAUGCCUUUUUCUAGUGAUUGAUAGUACGGAAAAUUGAAUUUCCCCUUAGAGUCAUUGAACUAUAGAAUCAUCAGGUUUGGAGAAGACUUUCAAGAUCACCAACUCCAACCAUCAAACUGACCUACUGAGUCUCAUCACUAAACUAUGUCCCUUAGAGCCAUGUCUGUGGGUCUUAUAACUUCAUCCAGGGCUCGGACUCUACCAUUGCCCCGGGUAGCUCAUUCCAAUGCUUGACUGCUCUAAAUGAAGAAAUUCUUCCUAAUGUCCGAUCUAAACCUCACCUAGCACAACUUAAGACUAUAUAUCCUCACUUUCCUUGCUUCCUAUCUCUUGUCACCUGAGAAAAGAGACUGAUACCUCUUUGUUGCAACUUCCUUUCAGGUAGCUGUAAAGACUGAUGGGGUUUCCCCUUGGCCUCCUCCAUACUUUUCACUUUAGUGAAAAGGCAGAUUACUCCAAUGACCACUAUGAUUUUCUGGUAUCUUCAUGAAACUUCUGUAAUGCCCAAGAGCCUUGGUCUGCAGGGAAGACUUUGAGGAAGGCUAUUUGCUGCACACUUUUAAUCGUUCCCAUCAAUGAGGUUUGUAGGUCAGCACCUCUGAAAACCCAGAGCCUAAGUUUAGGCUGAGGAGCCUGUACUGCUACAUUCAGAAGUACCUUGAGGUUUCUUAACAUACAAAGAAAACUGGUACUUGGCCUGAAAGGAGAUGGGAGAAGAUGGGAGAAGAAAAGUGAUGAACCAAGAAAAAAGGAGUGGAAGACAAUGGUGAUAAGCAAGGCUAGCUAUUGCUAAUGCUUCUCAUGUAGAUUAGUGUGUGUGACAAUGGCUGCUUGUGAAGGAGAAGUAUCAGGGCUCAAACUAUUCUGCUUCCUCCUAACUCUCAACAUCACCCCAUGUCAAAAACUGGCAUAAUCUAGGUUGCAGUUGCAUAGCUUGUGCUGAGUUCCGUGGUGCUUCAGAGGUUACCUUAUCAGCAGCUGAACCACCUGGUGUAAAACUGACACAGCUAUUUCUGUAUCAUACUGUAGUUAUUCCUGAUUCUGAAUUAUGUGUAAAAUAUCCCAUUAGAAAGCCAAGUUUUGAAAACACUGAAUAAAACUACUUCACUGGGCUCUAGUAUUCACCUAUCAAAUAAACUAGCUUCCUAAACACCUAAAGAAAGUGUGAACACAACAAAUUACAAGGUAAAAAUGAAGUGUUGAAACAUUAGAUAUGAGCUAUUUUAAUUAAUAAUUAUUAUUAUAAUUUUAAAUGUAUUUUAAAAACCCCAAAAUCUGAAGGUAAUGUUCCCAUGGCAACCUUAGCUCUAUCUCCCAUGUGCAGUAAAUGUGUAUGUAUGUUUGUGUAAAAGAGGAUCAUUCAUUACCAUGGUUGUGAUCAGAAUGAUUUAGGACUUGCUGAUCAGCAACCUGUUAAUCAGACCAGAAAUCUCAUCUUUGAAAGUGGCUUAUUUCUAAUAUUUCUCUAGCCAAGUGUUGCAACGUAGAGGUGAUGCUGAAUUUCUGUCCAGUCUGAUAAGUACUCAUGCUAAGAUAGUAUGUCUGAACAAUCCAUAUCUUGUCAUAAAUCUGAUCUAUCACUUUCCAAAUUUAGCUACUUUCCAUGACAGACACCCUGCAGUCAUGUAUCCCAUCACUUAGUAAGUUGAAAUUUGAAUAUUUUUUUUUCUGAUGAACUCACUCACUAGUAUCAAACACUUCAUUAUGUGUACACCACACUUUGAUGCACACUUAACAUUGUAAAAUUGAUUUCAACCAUGAUGUUUUUUUAGAAGAGUUGAGCAUAAUUUGCCAAUGUGCCAGGGUUUACAAAGGAUGCAGUAGUCUGGUGACAGAGCUAAAUUGUCUCCAGUCCUCUCAAAUCACCUUAACGAAUGGCAUUUCCAGCACGCAGUGUUAUGCAAUGGUCCAUCCCUUAAUUUCUUCAUCUGCAUCUCCCACAUCUCCCAUAAUUAAGUUUCUCCAAAAGGUGCACAUCAGUCAUGAGAAAAUGUCUCUCAGAAAUGCAGGUCUUAGCAAGCCAAAGGGACUGAUGACUGGUGUUCAGCUCCUAGUCUGUGGCAGGGGAGUUGGAGCUCAAGAAUCUUUAUAGUACCUUCCAACCUAAGCCAUUCUAUGUUCAAUAAUUCUAUGAUUUUAUGAUCAGAAAGAGGGAGGUGUUUACGGCUGGUGCGGGGAGGGACCAGCAGCUGUAUGGCAUUCAAGCUACUUUGUUCAGGCAGAAUGAAUAAGGGAAAGUGAUGUGAAAAAAGCACAUACUAUAUUCUUGUGAAAUGUGCCUAGAUGGUAAAGGCAUUAAAGGAUACUGUUCAUUUUUAUUGCUGUCAUGAGAUACAGUGAAUGACACAUUCACGGUAGUAAUCUUUACAAGUAUUAUGUAAAGUACUCCUUCGAAAUGUAGCUUUUUUUUUCUCUCUCUCUUUUUUUCUUUUUUUCUUCUGCCAUUGUUGCCCUGUAACUAUUUUCAGUGACAUAAUUCUUAAGGGUACUGGUUCAGAAAGAGGAUUAAUACUUCAGAGGACAAACUGAGGGUGUCUUAUUUUUCUUAUACAAUAAAUACACAUCUCUGAAUCCUUUGAAUAUGAGCAUAUUCUUGCUGAGCUGUUGUAUAAAAUCAAAGCAAAAAACAUAUAUAGAUAAAAUAAGCAUAAUAUAAGCAUAAUGUUUGAAUAAAUAUAUUCUCAGCAGACUCAGAAAGUAAUAUGAAGAUUUGCAGGCUUUCAAAAUCUCAAAGCUAUAAACCUAAAGAUAGAGGAAAUAAGAAUCCAUUGUAUUUAAGAGCUAUAUGUAUGCAAAGGAGAUAUAAGCAUAUAAGCAUAUAAGAAUUCAUCUAAAGAGAACUGAGAAAUAUCGGGAAAGAAACUUCAUUCUAUUCUGUUGUCAUUUGAGGAAUUAAAUGUUAGAACAAUUAUAUUUAGGACUGCCUUUGAACAGAGGCUCUCUUUUAAAUUUAGGAAAGCUGGACCUACUGAGAUAGAGCAAUUAUUUCUAUUUUUUCCUAUGAGUCAUGAGGUCAAAGUUUAAUGCUUAGCAUCCUGCUAAAUUUAAACAACAUAAAGAUUUCCUGCCAAUGUAUUUCUGAAUUUGUGUAUCUUAUUUAUUUAGAUAUAGCACAAAAUCUAAAACAGAUGUUUAUGCUCCUGAAGGCCCUCAGAAAUGCAGCACAGUUACAGUCCCCAAAUGUAUUUAUUGUAAUUGCAUUUCUUUUCUUUGUAGCAACAUUUGUUUUAUUUUCCUAUAAAGAAUGCUUCAAAAUUUAGUGUUAAAAAAGGUAAGGUGUAUUUGAAAUGGGUCUCAUGAUAGAUCUUAUUUCAAUUAGUCCUCUUUGAGACAUCCAGUGAAUGUCUGUGUUCACAUGAGUAAGACAGCCUCUGCGUCAUGGGAGGUAACGUUAGAUUUGUUUCAUUAUUUCCAGCUAGCUGAAACCAGUUGUAAUCUAAAAAUGACCCCUCACAAGCACUGUUGAACUAAGGGAUUGCUGAUGGUUUGUAGAAAGUGUUAAAAGGAACACAGAAAAUACACAAAAGAGGAGUGUGAAGCACUUCAAAGCCAGCUUCACUGGGGAUGAAAUUCUCCAGGAAGGCAGAAGACACUGAAAACAACACCUUUAGUUUUGCAGGUAGUGAAUGCCAACAGAGAGCAACUUCUUUUCUUACAAUACCGGGUUUUGAAAUACUUGAUAUGGUUGAUAGUUCUCACUGCCUCAGGAAAAGAGACUAUAAAACUGAAGUAAAGAAGACUGAGGAAUGGUUUAUAUCCCAUAAGCUCGCAAUAUCAACUGUAGUUUUAAUCAGAGAAAUAAAAGAUUGAAGAAACUCUAGGAAUGAAGAGCCACUUAGCAUUGCUGGAGGAUUGUCUGAGAUGAUAGACCAUGUCCAAACGUGUAUUGAGAUGCAUCUGUAGUCUGCUAUGCAGCCUACACUGCUGAUCUUUUUCACGUGUGCCACAGACACAUAAUGACUGUGUAUUUUGUAUUGUACCCAGUAUUUGUUUUCUCACAGCCAUUCAACUGCAGCUAUUCCAAGAGCACGUCAAAUCUUCCUGUAUCAAAAAGUAGUGGAGAAGGGAUUCUUAUCCCAAGAAAGCUCAUAAAGGCCAAGAGGAAGAGAAUCCCACAGGUAGAGGCCUUCAGCUGGGACCUUUCCCUGAAAUGGAAUGGACUAAUGCACAGACAGUAGUGAGAGAACUGAACAAACAAUCAAUACUGUCACUUUAUGUCCACUUCAGAACAAGGAUUGCAAUAUAGCAGCAUGAGACUACAGUAGUUGGAAGGAUUUGAUGUUGCAAAUCAACAGUAUUUGCCCUUGUUCAGACUCCUAAGAGUGAUUACCCUCAAGAAAAUUGACUCAUAUAAGAUAAAGCUACUACAGCUGAAAUCAAGAUCUGAAUCAGAGACUCCAGGCAUUCCCUGGUGCCAGUACCAUUAGGAACUGACAGCCUGUCACCGCCCCUGUUAACAGUUUGGCACUGUAAAGAUAAGCCAC